CGUCGCCUGAAACACCAGCAGAAACAACUCCACUCAGAAAUUACACACAUAAUCACCAAGAAACAUUUGUAAUAUUGGCCAUCAUGGUCCCAUAGAAAGCAGGUCUUGUAAAACAUAUUCCAAUCAUCUUAAACUUAAAGAACUGCCUUAGUGACUUGUACUCGAGUAGCGUGGAGUGAGGUGUGACUGCCGAGCUGAUGUUAUUACAGUAUGUGCAGAAGCUCUGUGGUUUGUGAGGGCUCACC